AGGAGAAACAUCAUUGAGUGCAGCGUUGAUGAAUUCCCCUACAUGACAUAUUUCUGUUGGUUAAUUCAUUACCAAUAUCCCUUCUUUAAAAAAAGAAGUAAACCUUUUUGGGAAUAGAUGGUUUUGGAUGAUUUCACCAGCGCUGCAUUCAAUCAUGUUUUUC
rfam:Ricinus communis cultivar Hale ctg_1100012350478, whole genome shotgun sequence.